AGUGAACGCUGGCGGUAGGCCUAACACAUGCAAGUCGAACGGCAGCACAGUAAGAGCUUGCUCUUACGGGUGGCGAGUGGCGGACGGGUGAGGAAUACAUCGGAAUCUACUUUUUCGUGGGGGAUAACGUAGGGAAACUUACGCUAAUACCGCAUACGACCUACGGGUGAAAGCAGGGGAUCUUCGGACCUUGCUCGAUUGAAUGAGCCGAUGUCGGAUUAGCUAGUUGGCGGGGUAAAGGCCCACCAAGGCGACGAUCCGUAGCUGGUCUGAGAGGAUGAGCAGCCACACUGGAACUGAGACACGGUCCAGACUCCUACGGGAGGCAGCAGUGGGGAAUAUUGGACAAUGGGCGCAAGCCUGAUCCAGCCAUACCGCGUGGGUGAAGAAGGCCUUCGGGUUGUAAAGCCCUUUUGUUGGGAAAGAAAAGCAGCAGGUUAAUACCCCGCUGUUCUGACGGUACCCAAAGAAUAAGCACCGGCUAACUUCGU
rnacentral:rRNA from 1 species